ACCACGCCCCCCAACCCCGCGCGCCAGCCGGGAGCGGGGCCUGGCGGCCUUGGGGGCCGGCUGAGCUCCCGGCGCGGCGGUCUGAAGAGUUGGCGGACGGGCGGUCGAAGCGCCGAGCCCGGGGCGGGAGACGGCGGCCGCGCUGACCUCUCGGCUUUGCGGGGCUUGGCGCAGAGGCCCGCGGGGUUCACUUCCUUGAAAGUGAAGAAAGUGAAAGAAACCUUUCUUGACUACUCCAUGGGCAAUAACAACCCCACCUACUCUUUUUUCUUAACAGGAAUUAGUUUAUUCAUGAUGAACUACACACUUUUGUUUGGAAAACUGCAUUCCUUCUUACAGCUUCAAUAACACUAUGAUGUUCCCUGAUUAACACCUUAAACGAGAGAUUUUGUGAUUAAAGAUGGGAGCAGCAGGCAAGAAAAAUUCAUAGAUCAUGCUGCAGAUUCCAGCACUGGCAAAUGGAUGGAUAUUGGUGCAUUUUAUUAAACUAGAGACCAUAGGAUUUCUCACAGACAUAUUUGCGAGAAAAGGUGGAGAUGAGCUCGAAGAUCUUCAACAAGGCUGAGAUUGUCCAGCUGCAGGAAACCAGAGAAGCUUUGGUAUGGAAUGCAGUUUUCCUUGUGGGGACAGGGGAUGGGAAAAUGUGGAGUGAUGAGCGAGAGGGGACCUCCAUGUUGGUAGCAUAAAAGAGAAUCUC
rnacentral:lncRNA from 1 species